CGAAAAUAGAGUAGCGGGUCGGUAGCUCCUGCGCCCGUCUAACGGGUUCUUCCCAGCCGCGG
rnacentral:ncRNA from 1 species